UGCAAAACUAACUGCAAAAGAGAGAUUUUUCAAAAACCCAUCUGACCUGCUCUUUAACUGGCAUCGCUGCUUGCAAAUCAAAGUGUUGCAGCCUGUUUCAGAACAUCUGAAAUCCAUACCUUGUAAGGUAAAAGAUACGCGGAUGCAAGUUGCAAGUAAAAUAACUCUUUAUUCAGAGAACCGCAAAGGUCUUUCAGUUGCAGCCAGCAGGAGAGUGGUGACGCAGGGACUUCGAUGGGCAAUCCAGAUGAGAUGGGUGACAACAGACUGAAGACUUCCCCGGAGUGGUGAAUGAUGAAUCAGGUGUAAUCCACAACAGGAUAGAAACAGGAACAGCCUGACGCGAUGAACUCAAUGCAGCCGAAGGAACAGACAAGGAGACCUCAAACAGGAACAACACGGGGAAACUCCAACAAUGAUCUGACAAACAUGAGACGAAAGACAGUGCAUUAAAUAGGCUGGGGGAAAUGACAUGCAUGAUGCAUGAUGAUCAGUGGUAACGCCCACAAGAAACAAUCAGCGUGAUGAGACACAUACUCACAUACAGCACGCACGACCAGGAUGAGACAGCGGAUGACCAACCGUGACAUAUCUAAGAUAAGUGAAUGCUCUUUUAAUUUAUAUCACUGUGUAUACUGCCAUCGCAUCACUGCUUGAAAUUAACUGGCAUCGCUGCUUGCAAAUCAAACUGUUGCAGCGUGUUUCAGAACAUCUGAAAUCCACAUCUAUGACAAGUGAAUGCUCUUUUAAUCCAUAUCGCUGUGUAUAUUGUCUGGUCUGCUAAUUGUAAAAAUAACAAAAUAAAAUGAUGUUAGCAGUUUUGCAUCGUUUGCAGGAGCGAAAUAUUAAGCAUAUUUGCAGCAGCAUUUACGCAUCUGUGUUUAUACACCUGGAGCAAUAAGCAGUCUAGAGCAUGUAAUCGCUCUGAGGACACGCCGAUAGUUGGCCAUGAGAACAGGUUUAAAUGAAACAAGCAUUCUCGUGUAGGCAUUCAACUGGGGUUCGCUGUAUUUAGCAGCGUAAUCUCAAGGUCACGGUUGUUUAUUUCUAAGGUUGAUGUUUCAUUAGCUGUGUGAGUGUGCGGUUGAUUUCAGCUGCACGCAGCAUCAAAAGCACACGUUUAUCGCUCUAUGGCUUCUAUACAUAUAAGAAUGUGAUAUCAAGGACAGUCAUACAAAGUAUUUCCGCAGGGUGUAUGCUUCCCCUGCCACCCACAAUUAUACAAUUUACAGCAUUAAUGCAUAUAACAUGCUCCUCGUGCCGCAGCAAGGGGUCGUAUGCUUCCCCCUUUACAAUCACAUAUUUGCUUUAAGCAUUUUAAGCAACAUGCUUGUUGCAUAUACACGAUUGCCUAACUUGGGGUGAUGCUAUUAGACCGGUGCUGCUAGGGGUGUAUGCUUCCCCCUGUACAUUCAAAUAUUUGCAUAAGCAGCUUAAGCAACAUGCUUGUUGCAUGCUUCCUUACUGAGUUUGGGUGAUGCUUCGCUCAUAAAUAUAGUAUAAGCCAACAUUUCCCAUCGCUGACCAUUCAAAUUGCAUCAGUUGUGUUGGGGGGUUUUGGCAUUUGGUUGUUUUGGGGGUUUAUCUUGCUGCUCUCCCUUCUUUGUCCAAGCAUGGCUGCAUGGACAGGCGUGUGGAGUGUUGCCCAGAACAUAACCAUAUCGGCAACACUAAUUGUAUGCAAUAUAAUUGUCAUAAAUAUACUUGACAGACGUGGUCCUGAUUGAAAUUCAGCAUCGCGUUAGUUCAUGCAGGCCACGUCAGUCAAGCUCGCAUCAGCUGACAGUCAGCUGUUCCUGACAUGUACCAAUCGAGUCUUGACACCUAUCACAAGCAGUCUAUUUAAAUUUCCAUUCUUCAGCUUCUUUUCCAUCGCAUCGCUGCUUGCAAUUAUCUCCCUUCUCCAACCCCAACUCCACCAACUGAACCUGUAAUCCGAUCUGACUUUUGUUUCUUCCUUUACAGUCACUUCAUUGGAAGCAUUCUCUAUCAUGUUUCAUUUUACAACUAAUGUAAUUGUGAAUUGUAAUUAUGUAUGCGUAUAAUGGUUCUGUUCUUUACCCCAGGGGGGAUUGUCUUGCUGCUCUCUUAGCUCUGUAUAAGCAUGGCUGCAUGGACAGGCGUGUGGAGUGUUGCCCAGAACAUAACCAUACCGCCAACACUGAAAUAUAAUUGUCAUAAAUAUACUUGACGGAAGUGGUCCUGAUUGAACUAAGUGUUUGUGUAGAGAGUGGAAGCUGAAGUGUGCUUAAUGCAUGAGGCGCCAGCGCGAUCACUUCAUUGAAUUCUUCACUGGAAACAAGUAGGCUACGCUGUCAUUUUUGCUCAUACAGAGAAAACAAACAGGAUGUGCUUGCUGUCUCGUGAACAGGGAAAUGUCCAGCUCGGGCUGAAAUGCAAAGCUCUAAAAUCAGGAGAGAUGAGGCGAUUCUGAGAGAGAGACAAAGAAACUGGCCAAAAGAGACACGCGUCUAGCAGAGAGAAAAAAACGGGUUCCAUGGGGUAGAAGGUGCUGAGAGACGGUGGAAUUCCGGGAGUGUGGAGAUCAAGGAACUGAGAGAACAGGUAUAACCUCCUGGAGAAUGAUAAUCCUGCCAUUUUAAGGACAAGAAGGCCAGCAGAACUAGUGGAGCCAGGGGACUACCACAAGAAAAAGGACUUCUUAAAGAACAGAGUGAUCAUCAGAACUGGACAUCCAGAGAUUUCCAGACCUGCAAGAUUCAGAACUCCAAGCCUAAAAGAUCUAGAACCCCUGAGACCCACCAUGCCAUGGAUGGACCUGAUGGAACUUCACAAACUACAACAACAGCAAUGACUACUUCUUCUAGAAGGACUUUUCCAAAUUGAAAUGAAUGGACAAUGGACAAGAGAAACAAAGUGUUCAAACUAUUUUCAGAGACUGUGGACAGCAGUCUUAUCACAGAGAUGGAAAACAAGAUAUUAGAAAUGCACAAAGACAGACUCUCUGCACAUAAUACCAGAAAGAGACAAACAUAUGCAUACUCGAAUGCAGAACAUUGUCUACUGAACGCACACAUGUGACAAAGGAUGUCCACACUGAGAGAAUGGACACAAUGCUGUGACAAAAAUCCAUUUGGGUUUAUCUGUGAGUGCGAUGCUUUGGAAAAACAACCAUAGUGUGGAGCACCCCAGACAAACUAUGAAUCAUGUGAAAUCAACCUAACUCAUCUUCACAAUAAAUUCACUAGGGUAAUAGUUUCAGACAAGAAAACAUGAAUUACCACAACUUUAAAUCACUUCUCCAUCUUUAUCGAUAAUAACCAGACAUUAUGUCCAAUUAAUGAUACUUCAUUAUGUAUAACCCCCGAGUCAGCCUGGUCUUUAGGAAAUUAUCAUUUUCCAUAUGUAAGCACCACUCAACAGGCAAUGUCAGUAAAGCCAGAGGAACAACUGGGCUUUUUAGAAGAGAUCCCUGAAUUUGAGUUUGAGUUACCAAAACUGGAUGAUAUGCAAAGGAAAGAUAACCAUAUUGUUAAAGCUCAACAAGGUCUUGAUGAAAAGGAUAAGGCUUUAACUAAACAAAUGCAUGAUGGAGAUUUAGUUAUUGCAUACUCUGGUUUGAUUUGGGAUAUAACUUUUAAAACUGAUGUUUGUGUUUGUAUCUUCCUAAUUAUGUGUCACUGCAUUAUAUUUUGCUGUAUGUGUUCUAUGGUGUAAAGUCAAAUUGCAGAUAGUUCAGUGAUCAAUGUUGGACGUUCUCGUUGGUUGUGAUGGUUCUCGAUUACUUCUUCUAAACCCUAGAAACAUUUUUCAAAUUUAAACAAACCCGUGAUACUUUUGCAAAUGAAACGGAGUUGUAACCAGUGUGCAUGAGGUGUCGACCCAAUGACGGGUAAGAUUCUCCAGUGGCCAGAGGGGGACAACCUAAGCCAGGGCUUCACUGCCACUGGGCACCUACCGAGGAAGGGAGGUGUAAUCUGUGUAAGGAAGUGGAUGUGAUGCUUCUUUUGGGCCAAGAGCAUCAAAGAGGGGACUGUAAGAAAUUAUACUCUGUCUCGACCCAGCUUCCACUCCAAAUUGUGUAUUAAACUAGGCUCCUUUCCCCACAAAGAGCUUAAUUAUCAUAGAGAGUUAUUUCCGAUCUUAAUGAUAUGUAAAUAGUACCUCUGGAGUGAUAAUUUGUCACUUAUAGCGUGGGAGUAGCAGCAGGUCAUCAAGAACCAUCGGGAAUGGAAGGCUAUCACUUUCAUUUUUUUUUCGCAGUGUUGAGUGGGAAGAUGAACGUAAUACAGUAUAAAAUGUUUGAGCUUAGGAUGUUCGGGGUUCAUUCCAACUCCGUUGAACCCAAGGUACUACGUGUACAUUGUCACUGCUAUGCUGCUAUAAACAUCUUCGUCAAGAUCUUCAACGUCCUCACCACUUCUUCUUACAGUGUACAAAUAAAUAACCACACCGGUGCUCCCGCUGAUGGUUCACUCGCAUGCAGGUACUGAAAGUUUGGCCAAAUACUUAAACUUACAGGGAGCUUUAUCAUGAUAUCAAAUAUCAUUACUGAUUGCUUAUUAAUAGGAUGAUGUUCUGUAAUGGUGCUUUCAGUCAUUGAUUUAAUAUUAAUGUAAAGUUAGUUUAGUUAUAAAUUAGUGAAAUGCUUUUUUUAACUUUUUUUUCCCCUGAAUUGUUUAA